rnacentral:rRNA from 1 species
GUGUCAGCCGCCGCGGUAAUACGGGGGGGGCAAGCGUUGUUCGGAAUUACUGGGCGUAAAGGGCUUGUAGGCGGCCUGCUAAGUCGGACGUGAAAUCCCUUGGCUCAACUGAGGAACUGCGUCCGAGACUGGCGGGCUUGAGUUCGGGAGAGGGACGUGGAAUUCCAGGUGUAGCGGUGAAAUGCGUAGAUAUCUGGAGGAACACCGGUGGCGAAGGCGACGUCCUGGACCGACACUGACGCUGAGGAGCGAAAGCCAGGGGAGCAAACGGGAUUAGAUACCCCGGUAGUCCUGGCCCUAAACGAUGGGUACUAGGCGUCGGGGGGAGCGACCCUCUCGGUGCCGUCGCUAACGCAGUAAGUACCCCGCCUGGGGAGUACGGCCGCAAGGCUGAAACUCAAAGGAAUUGGCGG